GUAUUUAUAAGUGAGGAGCGCGUCAAAAACAGGCCCAAGUCCAGCGAGCCACCGCCGGGCGGUUUAAGUAUGUCGCCCGGCGGUUUCCCAUAACUUGCCGCCACCGCCCGGCGGCAAUCGCCACCGUCGGGCGGUUUGCCUCAACGUCAAAUGCCCUGUCUACUCCUCGUCCUGGACCGCCCGACGGUUUAAGUGUGCCGCUGGGCGGUAUGUCGAC
rnacentral:lncRNA from 1 species